rnacentral:lncRNA from 1 species
UGGUCUCGAUCUCCUGACCUCGUGAUCCACCCACCUCGGCCUCCCAAAGUGCUGGGAUUACAGGCGUGAGCCACCGUGCCUGGCCGGCAAUUUUUUAAAAUCAGUUGGCUUCAUCAAUUGAUUCUUCCUUUUAUGAAAGAUUUCUCUGUAGCAUGUAACGCCAUUUGAUAGCAUUUUAUGCACAGUAGAACUUAUUUCAAAUUGGUGUCAAUCUUCUCAAACCCUGCCACUGCUUUAUCAACUUACUUUGUUAUAUCCUAAAUCUUUUGGUUUUUGUUUGUUUGUUUUGAGACAGAGUCUCGUUCCUUGGCCUCCCAAAGUGCUGGAAUUACAGGCGUGAGCCACCACGCCCGGCCGGAAGUGUAUUUUUUAAAUAAUAAGACUUGAAAGUUGAAUUUACUCCUUGAUCCAUGGGCUGUAGAAUGGACGUUAUCUUUUUUUCUGAACAGUGAGUCUCAACAGUGGACUUAAAAUACUCAGUAACCUAUGCUGUAAAGAGACAUGCUGUCACCCAGGCUUGGUGGUUCCACUGAGAGCACAGGCAGAGUAGGUUUAGCAUAAUUCUUAAAGCCCUAAGAUUUUCAGUAUGGUAAAUGAGCAUUGGUCUCAACUUAAAGUCACCAACUGCAUUAGCCCCUAACAACAGAGUCAG